GUUUGAUCCUGGCUCAGGACGAACGCUGGCGGCGUGCUUAACACAUGCAAGUCGAACGGGAUUUAGUAGACAGAAGCUUCGGUGGAAGAUUACUAAUGAGAGUGGCGAACGGGUGAGUAACGCGUGAGCAACCUGCCUAUGACAGUGGGAUAGCCUCGGGAAACCGGGAUUAAUACCGCAUAAAAUCGUAGAAACACAUGUUUUAACGGUCAAAGAUUUAUCGGUCAUAGAUGGGCUCGCGUCUGAUUAGCUAGUUGGUGAGAUAACAGCCCACCAAGGCGACGAUCAGUAGCCGGCUUGAGAGAGUGUACGGCCACAUUGGGACUGAGACACGGCCCAAACUCCUACGGGAGGCAGCAGUGGGGAAUAUUGCACAAUGGGGGAAACCCUGAUGCAGCGACGCCGCGUGAACGAAGAAGGUAUUCGUAUCGUAAAGUUCUGUCCUAUGGGAAGAUAAUGACAGUACCAUAGAAGAAAGCUCCGGCUAAAUACGUGCCAGCAGCCGCGGUAAUACGUAUGGAGCGAGCGUUGUCCGGAAUUAUUGGGCGUAAAGGGUACGCAGGCGGUUUAAUAAGUCGAAUGUUAAAGAUCGGGGCUCAACCCCGUAAAGCAUUGGAAACUGAUAAACUUGAGUAGUGGAGAGGAAAGUGGAAUUCCUAGUGUAGUGGUGAAAUACGUAGAUAUUAGGAGGAAUACCAGUAGCGAAGGCGACUUUCUGGACACAAACUGACGCUGAGGUACGAAAGCGUGGGGAGCAAACAGGAUUAGAUACCCUGGUAGUCCACGCCGUAAAC
rnacentral:rRNA from 1 species